rnacentral:tRNA from 1 species
GGAAGCAUGCCUGAUCGGAAAAGGGGCCAGCACUGUAACUGGCUGGGCAUUGCCCAUGCAGGUUCGAAUCCUGUCGCUUCCGCUA